GUGCGGCAGGCCUAACACAUGCAAGUCGAACGGUAACAGGAAGCAGCUUGCUGCUUUGCUGACGAGUGGCGGACGGGUGAGUAAUGUCUGGGAAACUGCCCGAUGGAGGGGGAUAACCACUGGAAACGGUAGCUAAUACCGCAUAACGUCGCAAGACCAAAGAGGGGGACCUUAGGGCCUCUUGCCAUCGGAUGUGCCCAGAUGGGAUUAGCUAGUAGGUGGGGUAAUGGCUCACCUAGGCGACGAUCCCUAGCUGGUCUGAGAGGAUGACCAGCCACACUGGAACUGAGACACGGUCCAGACUCCUACGGGAGGCGGCAGUGGGGAAUAUUGCACAAUGGGCGCAAGCCUGAUGCAGCCAUGCCGCGUGUAUGAAGAAGGCCUUCGGGUUGUAAAGUACUUUCAGCGGGGAGGAAGGGAGUAAAGUUAAUACCUUUGCUCAUUGACGUUACCCGCAGAAGAAGCACCGGCUAACUCCGUGCCAGCAGCCGCGGUAAUACGGAGGGUGCAAGCGUUAAUCGGAAUUACUGGGCGUAAAGCGCACGCAGGCGGUUUGUUAAGUCAGAUGUGAAAUCCCCGGGCUCAACCUGGGAACUGCAUCUGAUACUGGCAAGCUUGAGUCUCGUAGAGGGGGGUAGAAUUCCAGGUGUAGCGGUGAAAUGCGUAGAGAUCUGGAGGAAUACCGGUGGCGAAGGCGGCCCCCUGGACGAAGACUGACGCUCAGGUGCGAAAGCGUGGGGAGCAAACAGGAUUAGAUACCCUGGUAGUCCACGCCGUAAACGAUGUCGACUUGGAGGUUGUGCCCUUGAGGCGUGGCUUCCGGAGCUAACGCGUUAAGUCGACCGCCUGGGGAGUACGGCCGCAAGGUUAAAACUCAAAUGAAUUGACGGGGGCCCGCACAAGCGGUGGAGCAUGUGGUUUAAUUCGAUGCAACGCGAAGAACCUUACCUGGUCUUGACAUCCACGGAAGUUUUCAGAGAUGAGAAUGUGCCUUCGGGAACCGUGAGACAGGUGCUGCAUGGCUGUCGUCAGCUCGUGUUGUGAAAUGUUGGGUUAAGUCCCGCAACGAGCGCAACCCUUAUCCUUUGUUGCCAGCGGUCCGGCCGGGAACUCAAAGGAGACUGCCAGUGAUAAACUGGAGGAAGGUGGGGAUGACGUCAAGUCAUCAUGGCCCUUACGACCAGGGCUACACACGUGCUACAAUGGCGCAUACAAAGAGAAGCGACCUCGCGAGAGCAAGCGGACCUCAUAAAGUGCGUCGUAGUCCGGAUUGGAGUCUGCAACUCGACUCCAUGAAGUCGGAAUCGCUAGUAAUCGUGGAUCAGAAUGCCACGGUGAAUACGUUCCCGGGCCUUGUACACACCGCCCGUCACACCAUGGGAGUGGGUUGCAAAAGAAGUAGGUAGCUUAACCUUCGGGAGGGCGCUUACCACUUUGUGAUUCAUGACUGGGGUG
rnacentral:rRNA from 1 species